UGGGGAAUAUUGCACAAUGGGCGCAAGCCUGAUGCAGCCAUGCCGCGUGUAUGAAGAAGGCCUUCGGGUUGUAAAGUACUUUCAGUCGGGAGGAAGGUGGUAAGGUUAAUAACCUUAUCAAUUGACGUUACCGACAGAAGAAGCACCGGCUAACUCCGUGCCAGCAGCCGCGGUAAUACGUAGGUGGCAAGCGUUGUCCGGAUUUAUUGGGCGUAAAGCGAGCGCAGGCGGUUUCUUAAGUCUGAGGUGAAAGCCCCCGGCUCAACCGGGGAGGGUCAUUGGAAACUGGGAGACUUGAGUGCAGAAGAGGAGAGUGGAAUUCCAUGUGUAGCGGUGAAAUGCGUAGAUAUAUGGAGGAACAACAGUGGCGAAGGCGGCUGUCUGGUCGGUAACUGACGCUGAGGCGCGAAAGCGUGGGGAGCAAACAGG
rnacentral:rRNA from 1 species